rnacentral:rRNA from 1 species
GAGCCUACGGGGGGCAGCAGUGAGGAAUAUUGGUCAAUGGGCGGGAGCCUGAACCAGCCAAGCCGCGUGAGGGAAGAAGGUACAGCGUAUCGUAAACCUCUUUUGUCAGGGAACAAAGGCGGAGACGCGUCUCCGGAUGAGUGUACCCGAAGAAAAAGCAUCGGCUAACUCCGUGCCAGCAGCCGCGGUAAUACGGAGGAUGCGAGCGUUAUCCGGAUUUAUUGGGUUUAAAGGGUGCGCAGGCGGGAGAUCAAGUCAGCGGUAAAAUGUCGGGGCACAACCCCGGCCGGCCGUUGAAACUGGUU